rnacentral:rRNA from 1 species
CCUACGGGAGGCAGCAGUGGGGAAUAUUGGGCAAUGGGCGCAAGCCGGACCCAGCAACGCCGCGUGAAGGAAGAAGGCUUUCGGGUGGUAAACUUCGUGUAAGAGGGAAGAGCAGAAGACGGUACCUCUUGAAUAAGCCACGGCUAACUACGUGCCAGCAGCCGCGGUAAUACGGCGGUGGCAAGCGUUGUCCGGAUUUACUGGGUGUAAAGGGCGUGUAGCCGGGCUGACAAGUCAGAUGUGAAAUUCCGGGGCGCAACCCCGGACCUGCAUUUGAAACUGUUGGUCUUGAGUAUCGGAGAGGCAGGCGGAAUUCCUAGUGUAGCGGUGAAAUGCGUAGAUAUUAGGAGGAACACCAGUGGCGAAGGCGGCCUGCUGGACGACAACUGACGGUGAGGCGCGAAAGCGUGGGGAGCAAACAGGAUUAGAUACCCUUGUAGUC